CGUUGGUGACGCAACCGAUUGUCCGCACAGCGGGCAUGGCAAUAAUCCAAUCGCAACCGGCUCGCCGGAUGU
rfam:Vibrio sp. J237 Contig_13, whole genome shotgun sequence.